UAAAAGGCAGCUGUCCUUCAGUGAAACCUAGAGCAACAAUAAUCAUCUCUCUAGUUUCCUGUGGAAUACCUGCCAAAUAGAUUGCACUCUUGCCUAUAUUUGCCUGAAGACCAGAAGCAUAAGAGAAUUUGAGAAAAGUGCUGUGAAGAAUUUGAAUAGAUACCACAUCUGCUCUACAGAACAUUAGCAAAUCAUCAGCAAAACAGAC
rnacentral:lncRNA from 1 species